UACGUAGGGGGCAAGCGUUGUCCGGAUUUAUUGGGCGUAAAGAGCGUGUAGGCGGCCAUACAGGUCAGCUGUGAAAACUCGAGGCUCAACCUCGAGACGUCGGUUGAAACCGUAUGGCUAGAGUCCGGAAGAGGAGAGUGGAAUUCCCGGUGUAGCGGUGAAAUGCGCAGAUAUCGGGAAGAACACCCGUGGCGAAGGCGGCUCUCUGGGACGGUACUGACGCUGAGACGCGAAAGCGCGGGGAGCGAACGGGG
rnacentral:rRNA from 1 species